AGGGUCCUGCCUCAGGACGGGAAGAGAGCAUCCCAAGACCUGGGGAAGAAUGACACUGCACCAGGUGUGGACAGCGACGGCGGUGCCGACGUCUCCUGAAGCCGUCAGUUGGGCGAGGACCCACAAGGUCUGAGGGAGGCGCAGCGGCGCUGUGAAGGCGGAGCCCUUCGACAGGAGAGCAGGGCA
rnacentral:snRNA from 12 species